UUGGAGUCAUCUGCCCAGCACACACCCUGCCGUGGGGAAAACUCAACUUCCUCACUGCAUUCUCUCUCUUUCUCUCUCACACACACAAACACACACACACACGUUUUGUGGUGCCAUGUGCACUGCAGAAGAAGGUGGAAGAAGGUGGAAGAAGAGGAGGAAGGAGGACAUUGUCUCCCUAUUGGGCUUCAGGAGAAGGACACCAGAUGCAGGCUGUGCAAAUAAGCCCCGGAGAAAGUGCAGCACAUCACAGCAGGGUGUAAGAUGCUGGCAAGCAAGGCAUACGUGGAGUGGCAUAACCAGGUUGCACCAAUAGUGCACCAGAACAUCUGUACCAAUUAUGGACUGAAGGUCCCAGAGUCAAGAUGGCAGACACUAUCCAAGGGGGUUGAGAACAACCAGGCCGAUAUAUAUAUAUAUAUAUAUAUAUAUAUAUUAGGUGUUUCAUUUUUAUAUUUUAAAUUGUAAUUGUUACAUUAUUUUAGAUUGUAUUGUAUAUUUUAAUUUGAGUGACAUUAGAACUGUUCACGAAUUGGCAUUCGAGUCCAUCAAAACAACGGAAUCUGAAUUUCACCACGAUUCAAAGAAUAACACACUACUUAGUUUAUUCUGAAAAGAGCCGCAACUGCCGCCAUGCAACAUUUGGAAAAUAUUUCACAAUUUUUUUUUUUUUUUUAUCCUUUGUUUCUGACAGACGCCAUAUGGAAUUAGUUCACGUAGUUUCUGCACUUGUACACAGUUGUAUCUUACAGCCUUCCACAGAGAUCUCUGCAUAAAGAGGGCAGCCAUUAGCCUAGCCCAAAGCGGUGCACAGAUAUUCAUGGCAGCUCCACAACCGAAGCCGAAAAGGAACCAUUGCGAAGGUGGACGGCGACUGCGGUCAUAUGAAUGGGAGAAAGCGGAGUUGCUGAGGAUGGCCCAACCAAUCAGGCCGGCCACUCCUGGGAAGGUUUUCUCCGUGUGAGGAAUGGCUCUCCACGCGCCACGCCACGCCAACCACGCCAUCAAGCUCUUCCACCUCCUCACGUUCCCGCUUCCUGCACAUUCCUUGUUCCUAUGGACCACUAUCCCACCUUGGAUACACAAACUCUGAGCCAUUUGAGUUGGAAAAUGUAUGCAUUAUAUAUACCAAAUAUUACUUCUAUUUGUUUUAUACACCCUUCACAUGCUUUAUUGUUCCAUGUUGUGACUUCUGGCCGUUUUGUGCGUUCUGGUUGUUUCCAGCCACCUUGUGACUACUAGCUGUUUUUUGAUAAAGAUGAGUGCAGCUGGACAAAGAUAAUUGUUUUGCUUUCCUUUGCUUCUCUGUCUCUCUAACGGAAGUGAUUGUUUUGCUUAGACUUCAGUAAGGGGUGAUAACUCAUCAGACUUGUACCUUUUCCUCUCUUUGCAAAGACUUUUCUUUCUUUUUUGUAAUAAA